UUGUAGUCUGCAACUCGCCUACACGAAGCUGGAAUCGCUAGUAAUCGCGGAUCAGCACGCCGCGGUGAAUACGUUCCCGGGCCUUGUACACACCGCCCGUCACACCAUGAGAGUCUGUAACACCCAAAGCCGGUGGGAUAACCUUUAUAGGAGUCAGCCGUCUAAGGUAGGACAGAUGAUUAGGGGUGAAGUCGUAACAAGGUACC
rnacentral:rRNA from 1 species